UGCAUCAGGGAAGGUUCGGGUUGAACAUUUGGAAAAAUUUCUUCUUGGAGUGGUGAGGCAUUGGAACAGGUUGCCCAAAGAGGUGGUGAAGUCACCAUCCCUGGAGGUGUUUAAGUCCUCUCUCUUGGUGAGAUGCAGAUAGAUAAAUUCAGUAUUCGAGACACAUUUCCUUCUCUGGAAGGAGCAAAACAGACUUCCUGCCCUUCUCUUGGAUAACACUAAAUAUGAAGCACACGUACAACAUGUGCAUUUGGAAUUCCCUAACAAUCCAGACCAACUUCUACACUGGUACCAAAUCCUCAGCAACAUCUGAAGGAUAGAUUUAACAGACGAUUGAAUGAAGUAGGAAUCCACAAUGAGGACAGUACUGGAAAUGCAGGAGUUAAAGUAACUUAAAAAAAUAAAGUUAUAUCUUAUAUUAUUUCAUUUUCUUAUGAGGUUUUUUUUUUUUUGAAGAAGAAGAAGAAAUAAGUCUUAUCAAGCUUAAUGGGUUUUAGUCAUUCUUAACAGCUAUCUAA
ensembl:lncRNA